rnacentral:rRNA from 1 species
CAGCCGCCUCGGUAAUACGUAGGGGGCGAGCGUUGUCCGGAAUUAUUGGGCGUAAAGCGCGCGCAGGCGGUCCCUUAAGUCUGAUGUGAAAGCCCACGGCUCAACCGUGGAGGGUCAUUGGAAACUGGGGGACUUGAGUGCAGAAGAGGAGAGCGGAAUUCCACGUGUAGCGGUGAAAUGCGUAGAGAUGUGGAGGAACACCAGUGGCGAAGGCGGCUCUCUGGUCUGUAACUGACGCUGAGGCGCGAAAGCGUGGGGAGCAAACAGGAUUAGAUACCCUGGUAGUCCACGCCGUAAACGAUGAGUGCUAAGUGUUAGAGGGGUUAAACCCUUUAGUGCUGUAGCUAACGCGUUAAGCACUCCGCCUGGGGAGUACGGCCGCAAGGCUGAAACUUAAAGGAAUUGGCGGG